rnacentral:rRNA from 1 species
GUGAUCAUCGAAUCUUUGAACGCAUCUUGCGCUCCUUGGUAUUCCGAGGAGCAUGCCUGUUGAGUGUCAUUUGAGUUCUCAAACCAUGCUGAUUUAUUGGUGUGGCUUUGGAUGUGGGUUUUUGUUUGCCGGCUCCUGAAAAAUGAAGUCGGCUCCCCUGAAAUGCAUUAGUGGUAUCUGAGCAGAGACUACUUACAGGUGUGAUAAAUUAUCUAUCUAUGCCUCGGUAUGCUGCAUGAAACAGAUUGCACCGCUUAUAACGAGUGGAUAUUUGACAAGUUUGACCUCAAAUCAGGUAGGACUACCCGCUGAACUUAAGCAUAUCAAUAAGCGGAGG